rnacentral:lncRNA from 1 species
CGGCGCGGCGACGGCGGCUGUGCAUGUUUUGAAACCCUCGGAGGGAGAGAAGCGGCGCCCAGAGGGCGCGGGAGUCGCGCAGCAGUUAAAAGCACCUGCCUACCAGCCACAUGAACUGGGACACACAGCUCAACUCCAUACUGACUGCAACAGACAGCAACGUGGCUAAAAUAAAGCAGCGUCUGAACACAACCAGCAUCUCUUCCAAAGUGGAUUUGCUGCUUGACAGAAUAAACACUGAGAAGGUUGCAUUUGAUGAGUCUCUGGCUGGAUCUCAGCACUUGUGUCCUACCUGUCUAAAUCUUCCACACUGCAGGAUGGCAACAGAGGAGCUUGCAGCCAUCAGCAGUCAGCUGCAUUCGCAAGCUAAGGUAACUCCAGAGUGCUGAUGACAUUAGUUCUCUACUAAGGGGAAAGAGACA